AAAUGUUAAAAUGCCGAAACGGCAAUACAAUAUCUGAAUAUGCCCAUUUUACAGCUCUAGACUAUGAAAUGUUAGCAUCUAAUUACUGAAUCAAGAUAAACCUGUAAACCGUCAAAAUUAUCAACAGCUUUAUGAUGAUCGCAAACUCAGACUACUGGCAGGCUGGACUACAGGAAACACAUGAACAGGCAGACAGGGGAGGGCGUGACGUUGCUCUACACCCAGAAACCGUGACUUGAAGAAUGUGGCAUUAAAAGAAACAGAAACUGAAGAAUCUGAUUAUGCAGGCAUGAACAAAUUGUCUGCCCCAACUCUGAACUAUGAAAAUGUCAAUGUCUAAGGCUUCAUAAUAUUUGAGAUUCUUACUAACAUGUUAUUUCAAGGAAGAAGAAUUUGAGCCUACCUCUUCCAUCUCAUCUACAAAGUUUGGUAAUACUGGAAAAGUCUGUAUCGAUUGAUUGCCCACAGAUUUUUGUCCUUGAACUCCAAGAGGAAAAGAAAAUAUGAAAGUUUAUAGAAAGAUAACUUGAAGUUAUGGAGAAGAAAAUACCAUGAGUUCCUCAAAGCAAAUGGAUAAUGAAAUACAAUCAGCAUGGGCAACACUAACCCGGAAAGACUCCCCCUCUGCCAUAGACUAUUCUCUCUUAGAGGCUGUCUAUAGAGACGACUGGUUUAAAGUGACUAUGUGAACGGAUACCCUGCGAGCAUAAACUUCUUCAACGAGAAGUUUCUGUUUACCUCGCAUU